rnacentral:lncRNA from 1 species
UCCUUUUUGGCACCAUUUUCAUUGCUGUAAUGGCCAAACUUCCUUUUUCUUUUGUUGGCCAAGGCUGGUGGUGUCUCGCUCUGGAUAUUUCAUGGCAUGGAUUUGAUUCCUGUUUCCUUUUGCUUCCUAUUUUCAAUGCUUGCUAUUUAUUGUCUGUUUCCCCUAUUCAGCUUACUCUGUGAAUGAAUUUUCUCAACGUUUAUGAAAGGA